AGGGAAUCUUCGGCAAUGGGGGCAACCCUGACCGAGCAACGCCGCGUGAGUGAAGAAGGUUUUCGGAUCGUAAAGCUCUGUUGUAAGUCAAGAACGGGUGUGAGAGUGGAAAGUUCACACUGUGACGGUAGCUUACCAGAAAGGGACGGCUAACUACGUGCCAGCAGCCGCGGUAAUACGUAGGUCCCGAGCGUUGUCCGGAUUUAUUGGGCGUAAAGCGAGCGCAGGCGGUUUGAUAAGUCUGAAGUUAA
rnacentral:rRNA from 1 species